GGGAAUGUAGCUCAGUGGCACAGCGCCUGCCUGGCAAGCUCGAGGGCCUGAGUUCGAUUCCCAGUACCA
rnacentral:tRNA from 1 species